rnacentral:rRNA from 1 species
GAGUGAACGCUGGCGGUAGGCCUAACACAUGCAAGUCGAACGGCAGCACAGUAAGAGCUUGCUCUUACGGGUGGCGAGUGGCGGACGGGUGAGGAAUACAUCGGAAUCUACUUUUUCGUGGGGGAUAACGUAGGGAAACUUACGUUAAUACCGCAUACGACCUACGGGUGAAAGCAGGGGAUCUUCGGACCUUGCGCGAUUGAAUGAGCCGAUGUCGGAUUAGCUAGUUGGCGGGGUAAAGGCCCACCAAGGCGACGAUCCGUAGCUGGUCUGAGAGGAUGAUCAGCCACACUGGAACUGAGACACGGUCCAGACUCCUACGGGAGGCAGCAGUGGGGAAUAUUGGACAAUGGGCGCAAGCCUGAUCCAGCCAUACCGCGUGGGUGAAGAAGGCCUUCGGGUUGUAAAGCCCUUUUGUUGGGAAAGAAAAGCAGCAGGUUAAUACCCCGCUGUUCUGACGGUACCCAAAGAAUAAGCACCGGCUAACUUCGUG